rnacentral:rRNA from 1 species
ACGGAGGGUGCAAGCGUUAUUCGGAUUUAUUGGGCGUAAAGGGCGCGUAGGCGGCUUUUUAAGUCAGAUGUGAAAUCCCGGGGCUUAACCUCGGAAGUGCAUUUGAAACUGGGAAGCUUGAGUAUGGGAGAGGGAAACGGAAUUCCUGGUGUAGCGGUGAAAUGCGCAGAUAUCAGGAGGAACGCCGGUGGCGAAAGCGGUUUCCCAGACCAAUACUGACGCUUAGGCGCGUAGGCGCGUGGAUCAAACAG